AUUGAACGCUGGCGGCACGCCUAACACAUGCAAGUCGAGCGGCAGCGAGACUAGUAGCAAUACUAGUUGUCGGCGAGCGGCGGACGGGUGAGUAACACGUAGGAAUCUGCCCUUAAGCGGGGGAUAACCAAGGGAAACUUUGGCUAAUACCGCAUAAUCUCGAGAGAGCAAAGCUGCCCGCAAGGGUGGCACUUGAGGAGGAGCCUGCGUCCGAUUAGCUAGUUGGUGGGGUAAUGGCCUACCAAGGCGAUGAUCGGUAACUGGUCUGAGAGGACGACCAGUCACACUGGGACUGAGACACGGCCCAGACCCCUACGGGAGGCAGCAGUGGGGAAUAUUGGACAAUGGGGGCAACCCUGAUCCAGCGAUGCCGCGUGAGUGAAGAAGGCCUUCGGGUCGUAAAGCUCUUUAGGCUGGGAAGAAGGGUAUUGGCUGAAUAAUCCAGUACUUUGACGGUACCGACAGAAUAAGCGCCGGCUAACUUCGUGCCAGCAGCCGCAGUAAGAC
rnacentral:rRNA from 1 species